GGAUGCCAUUUAAGGAAUGAAGCAAUUCUGAGGAACAAUGAAGAAAUUCAGGUGAACAAGUCUUAAAAUAGCAAUGCAAUUAAAAUUAAUUUACAAGAAAGUAAUUAAUAGCACAAACAGGGCACUCAAUUAAAAAAGGGUUAGAAUGAAAACGUGCAGCCACGGUGGUCCUCCGGGACUGGACUUGGUGACCCCUGAUCUAAGACAUUCACUCUUGCCAAGCUAAAAUAGUUCCCCAUAGUCCAUCUGUCACUGGAAAAAUUCUCCAAGGUUGUGCAUAGAUUGGAUAGUUCCAAUGCAUUAUUUUUAUAUGUCAGUGAAGAUAAAGUUUGUUGGUGAGGCUACCUUGGUAAGAGUAUAUCAGAUGGUCACCAUCAUACAGUAAGUAGUAAAGCACCUGUUAGGCUGGCAGUUUAAAAACUGUAACAGGCUACAAAAUACACUUCAGGUUUAAGUGGUAAUAGAGUUACUUGAUGCAUUGUUUUUCCUUGGAGGAAUGUUAAAUGAAAAAUUAAAAAAAUGAAUAAAACAAAACCUGCUGAUACAGCCCAAUACCGAAGUGUGUUCUGAAAUGAUAACCUUAAGGCACAAAGCAUUGCCAUAAGAAAUCAAACGUCCCCCUUGACAAUCUACAAUUGUACAUUCACUGUUUUGUAUCCACACCCUGCACAUUUCGUUCUCCCCAGUUCCGACUCCGCUCUUGUGUCUCCAGUUUUCUAUGUACAGGUCUAGCGAUGAUGAAUGAUGAUGAUGAUGAUUCCACUCAAAGCAAAAGAGGUGGUAGGGUGCCAUUUACAACAAAAAUGCUGGAGCUGGCUCUGCCACCAUGCCACACUUGCCUUACACGUUACCUCUAAGCCAAGAAAGUGAUGCAUUACAUCCAAAAGUAGACAUAACAGUGAAAUAUUCCUAAUGCUAAAAAAUGAACCUUGUAAAAUGCAAAAACGAAACAAACAACAACAACGUCUUUGUUGACCCUGACUGCAUUCAACGGCGUUGAAAAAUUGAUGGACUCACAAAGCGCGUCCUUCGCCUGCCAAUCCAGGAAGUGGCAGGUGACGUUGACGAAAGGCGUUCGUUGUCAUAGCAACACCGGGUCGCGCUCCAAGCCGGGACUGGCAGGCCAGGAAGUAGGCGCGUGAGCGCUUGGUGAAGCCCGACUUACCGUAGACACCGGCCGGUGAAGUGCUCCUGCUGAAAGGCUACUCCCAUGUCACCCAUCCCACCUCGUUCUACUCUUCUGUGUCUACCACCCAUGCCAAUUUGAAGUAUCCCCUACACUUUUACUCCCCACCUCUUUUAACUGAUCCAUGGCAGAAUGGAGACUUCCUGAAAACCAUGCAUCAAAACUGAGGGACUUUUGUUUAAAUGGGCAUUUUAACAGAAUGGCAGAACAGAACGAUAACGAUGGGCCAAAAGCCAGCGCUGAAGCAAUCCAGUUUCUUACAUCAAUUUCGGCAGAAGAGCUACAGCUGUCUCUGUUUGCGGAUUCUUUGGUAACAGUGUCAGAUACAGGAAGAGAACUGGGAGAAUUCACCAUUACUAUUCAGCAAGGAUACUAUCAUGAUGAAGAGUGUUUUCUGAUUCAUGCGAACAGCCAUGGAUCUAUUGAUGAUAUUCCCUGUGGAACGUCUAUUACUGCCUAUGUUUCUAAGAAGCUUGAAACACUGGAACAACAUCAUCAUGAAUAUGUGAAGCUUAAGGACCAUCCUUUAGACAGAAAAUCCUAUAUGGUGAAGCAGGAUGAUCAGUUGGUUGUGAACAAAAUUAUCACUGAAGGAGAAAAGGUUAUGAGACACGUUUUCACAUUUCCAUGGAACUCUAUGGAGGGAUUUGUGUCAGAGGCCUCUAAUCUACUAAUUUUAAGGGUUCUUGCUAAAAGACAGACUGUUGCUAAGGACAUGCUUUUUCUUGCCUUUGAUCCUGAAACCCAUCUCUGCUCAUCUUCUUACAGGGAACUGGGCACUAGGAACCAAAUGAUUGGAAACAAUAUGGUUGAGGUAUUUGGAAUUGAAAGAACAAUCAAUUCAGAACAAGAUAUAUCUAGCACAUGGCACUGUUUCUUCCUCUCAGAUGGGCAUCUAGCAAGCAGAGUGCAAGUUGGAUCUCCUGUGACAAUGAAGCUUUUAGUGUUACCAUCAUUAAUACAAAAAGAUGAAGAGAACGAUAAACCUGCUUUUGAAAAGAAGCCACUUGUUUGGGAAGAAGACGUGCAACUGUAUUCGAGGUUUCUUGAUAGAAAGGAGGAGCUAAAGGCAAGCCAUGCUGUGUAUCUUAGACAUCAUCCUGAACUGAAAGCACUAAUGGCAGACUUCCUUCAGUUUCUGUUGCUCAGAAAACCAGCAGACAUUUUCAUCUUUGCUGCUGAUUAUUUUGCCCCCUUUUCUUCACAGAAGUAUCCUGAACUUUCAGAUAAGUCGCCUAGAAUUGCCAGUACAGUAACUGAAAAUGCACAAGAACUGUAAAACAAGAAGUGAAUAAGAAAAUGUCUAAAGGGCUUGCAUACAUGUAUUAAGUGGAAUUUUUAACUUAAUGUACAUAUUUAAUUUUAAGUAUGCUGAAUGUAUUUAAUGGUGCAUAGAGAGUAUAAAAUCUUACUUUAGGCAUUUUAAUCUAUCGUAACAAUCUCCAUUUUAUUAAAUAAAUCUAUUUGACUUGGGUUGUUUAAUGCAUUUGUUACGUUUCUAUUAUAAAGUGAAUAAUAUUGAUAUAAAUAUAAACACUGGAAUGAUGCACAUGGCACAGUGAUUUUGCACAUAAGCUCAAGGGCACUUUUAUUUUCCUUUCCUGUUUUCUUGCAGCUCCUAUUCCAAUUCAUGUUGUUCCUACUCUUGAGGUCAUUGGGUAUGCUGCCAAAACAACCAACCUGCAAGAUUUCUGAAGUUUGUCCUCGUCUUCCCCUCGCAGAGGCCAUCCCCUUGAUACUGGUGUCUCUCACUCUUGCUCCUUGCCUCUGGGCCUUACUGCUCUCCUCUAAACCUCCUCACCAGGACUAGGGGACAUCCAUCAAGAAGCCCACUUUAUUCAUGCACUUGCAUCAGAGCAGUCAACAGAUGGAAGAAGACAACUGUGCAGCUCCCCUGUGUUUGGCUGCCAUUAGCAAGUGAAAUGGAAGUUGAAUCUACUAGUAUGACUAUGGAUUGUUCAGUUGAAAAAGAGCUCCUACAAGAGGAGGAACGCAAACCUACUUUUGAAAAGGAGUCACUUGUCUGGGUGGAGGACUUGCAAGUGUAUUCAAGAUUUCUUGACAUAAAGGAAUUGCUGACAGCAAGCCAUCUUACAUAUUUCAAGCAUCACCCUGAGCUGAAAGCCCUAAUACAAGAUUUCCUGCUGUACUUGUUGCUUAGAAAACCAGAGGACAUUUUCACAUUUGCUGCUGAUUUUUUUGUGCAAUUUUCCUCCCGGAACAUUCCAUUUCGUAAAUUGAGCACUAGACCUUUCACAGACGAGGACAGUUAAGUUAGGUAUUUCAGGUGUCAGACUCAAGUGCAAUAUGACCAUCAUGAGAAAAGUAUGAACAGAAUGUGCAAAAACUGGGGAAAGAAUGUACUGUUGUCAUAAUUCUUAAAACGAUGUUUCAAUUAAUGUCUACGGAAUCUGGCAGAAAACACAACUAGUUGAAUUUUUUUGUAUGCUGAUUGUCUUUAAGUAGUAUGUGAAUAUAAAUACUUUUAAUAAAUAUGGCCUUAUGAUUUAUGGCAGAAAAACCAAGAAUUAAUAAUUCAGUGAUCUGUCAUCCACUUGUGAUCAUCAUUACUCUUUUCUGACCCUUAAUUUGUGCUUUCAUGCCGUCUGAAAUUGUUGGUUUCAUUAAUGAAUAAUAGUUUUAUUUUAAAUAAAUGAUCUCUUGCACCACUGCUAUGAAGCAUGGGCAUUCCUUAAGCAUCCUUAAAUGGAUGCCCAUUAAUCUUAGAAGGACACAAAAACCACAAGGCUGACCUAUACAGUAAGUAUACUUAACGUUUCAUAGCUAGUUUUAGGGUGGCACGGUGGCGCAGUGGUA